UCAUUCAGUUGGGCACUCUAGCGAGACUGCCGGUAAUAAACCGGAGGAAGGUGGGGAUGACGUCAAAUCAUCAUGCCCCUUAUGACCUGGGCUACACACGUGCUACAAUGGCUGGUACAACGAGUCGCGAGUCGGUGACGGCAAGCUAAUCUCUUAAAGCCAGUCUCAGUUCGGAUUGUAGGCUGCAACUCGCCUACAUGAAGUCGGAAUCGCUAGUAAUCGCGGAUCAGCACGCCGCGGUGAAUACGUUCCCGGGCCUUGUACACACCGCCCGUCACACCACGAGAGUUUGUAACACCCGAAGUCGGUGAGGUAACCAUUUGGAGCCAGCCGCCUAAGGUGGGAUAGAUGAUUGGGGUGAAGUCGUAACAAGGUAGCCGUAUCGGAAGGUGCGGCUGGAUCACCUCCUUU
rnacentral:rRNA from 1 species